UACGUAGGGUGCAAGCGUUACUCGGAAUUACUGGGCGUAAAGCGUGCGUAGGUGGUUUGUUAAGUCUGAUGUGAAAGCCCUGGGCUCAACCUGGGAACGGCAUUGGAUACUGGCUUACUAGAGUGCGGUAGAGGGGUGUGGAAUUCCCGGUGUAGCGGUGAAAUGCGCAGAUAUCGGGAGGAACACCUAUGGCGAAGGCAGCUCGCUGGGACGUUACUGACGCUGAGACGCGAAAGCGUGGGGAGCAAACAGG
rnacentral:rRNA from 1 species